UGUAAGCGUAUACCAAAGUUGUUGCAGUUAAAACGCUCGUAGUCGAAUUUUGGUGUGAGUUAUGGAGACUCCUACUGGAUGUUGAAGUAACUUCGCCUUUGUGGAGGGGGGUGUGGUGGUACUUUAUUGUAUUGCUGCAUUUCCGCCACUGUUUACUGUGAAAAAAUUAGAGUGUUCAAAGCGAGCGUUUGCCAUGAAUACAUUAGCAUGGAAUAAUAGAAUAGGACCUGGUUCUGUUUUAUUGGUUUGUCUGUAUCAGGUAAUGAUUAACAGGGACGGUCGGGGGUAUUUGUAUUCCAGCGUUAGAGGUGAAAUUCUUGGAUCGCUGGAAGACAGACAGCUGCGAAAGCGUCUACCAAGGACGUUUUCAUUGG
rnacentral:rRNA from 1 species